AUUGACCCCAUACUAUGCUCAGCAAGUAGGGCCCUUGUAUUUCUGUGAAUCCUCAUGCAGUACAGUACUGCUGUUGGAAGAGGAGCAAACAGUGUGGUAUCUAUGGUCCACCAUCUCUUCAAGCAUUAUGGCUAUGGAGGAAAGGAUGUUUCAUUACAUAUGGACAAUUAUAGUGGACAAAAUAAGAAAAGUGUUGUAAUAAGCUAUGGAAUGUGGCAUGUUAUGAUGGGUCUACAUGAUGACUUGGAGUACAACCUGAUUGGGUC
rnacentral:lncRNA from 1 species